AAAAAAGUAGCAUCCUUUUCCAAUAAGAAUCAAAGAUGAUAUUGAUGGUGAACGACCGAAAGGGUCAACAUGGUGGUUCAAAAGAACCUCUUUGAGGGCCUUUUCCGGUGGGUAUGCGUGUUUUUGCCGUUGACUAUGAUCGAGCUUGUCUCAGAAUGUUGGAGCAGAUGCUUUUGAAAUGCCGUUAUAAUGUCACGGCUACAACUCAAUCAAGAAAGGCGAUAGAGAUGCUAAGGGAAAACAAAGUUAUAAGCGAUGUACAUAUGCCAGGCAUUGAUGGCUUUCAGCUUCUUGAACUAGUGGGACUUGAGAUGGACCUACCAGUUAAUACAAUCAAUGAGCCAAAAUAACAAUCAAUGAUGCAGUGGUGACAGAACACAAGGAGCCAAAUUUGGUGAAGAAGGGUGUUGUGACUAUUGCUGAAACCAGUUAAAAUGGAAGACAUGUAUUUCGAAAGAAGGUUGAUUCCAAGGAUUAGAAGGCUUGCAAUGUGACUGAACAGGGCAUUCAAGGAGUUGCAUCAGAAAACUGUGCUAACCAUGAUAAAAGAUUGGAUAAAAAAAGGAAGGAACAAUCUGAAGACGCUGAUGAUAAUGAACAAGAGAAUGAGAAUGCUUCUCCUCAUAAGAAGCCUGGUUUGGUGUGGGUGAAGAGCUGCGUAGCAAGUUCAAAGCUGCAGUAUAUCACCUUGGCCUUGAUAAGGCUGUUCCUAGAAAAUUUCUUGAACUGAUGAAUGUUGAAGGGCAAGCCAUCUUUAGAGAAUUCCUGCACCAAAUGAACUUUAUCAUUUUCGACAUAACAACUAUGCAACUGGUAUUAGGCAGCUGAAUCCAGAUGAUUUCAAGUGAUUAUUUUUUAUCUGGAUUCACAAGUAAUAAUCUGUUGUUACAAGGAAAUUAUCCAGCAACUCAUAAGUUAAAUGCAUGUAGAAAUCGUUCUCCUCUUGGAGCUGCUUAUGUGAGAGCAGACUCAUUCGACACUGGCAUCACUGGUUCACCUAAUUUGCUGGAUUAUUAUCCGUGUAGCGAAGCCACACAGAUGAAAGCUAAGUUAUGGAGAGUUCGUGUCAACUCUUUGCCCUCCGGUCAGUCUCUCAACAAUUCUCAACUGCCUCAUAGUAACUUGAAGUUUUCCUCCUCCGCUUCUCAUGUUGGGAACGGAGUGAAGGCCUAAUUGGGAAUAUCAUAGAGGCUUCAUGUAGCAUCCCUCAGCAAAGUUUGGAGCAACAUAAGGAGGACUUAGAUGCACCCCUUUCUUCUGUUGGAGACACAUGUUCCCUGGGACAUGCUUCAAACCAAAAUAACAACAUUGGCAUAAAAGAGUUGAUGCAUCUUUUGCCAGCCAACAGAAUGAGGCUACUCCUUCAUUCAACCAGAACACUGAAC